UGAAACCUUACAGAUUGGGAAGCCCGUUUGCUUUUAUGAACCGUGGGCUUUCUUUGGCCCAACACAUCUAUACACGUGCCAUUAAGCCGACAUGUCGUACAGUCAACCACGAUAUAUUACUUAAUGAAUCUCCCUUCUCCGACGCGUACCUUAUUGUUUUGUGAAUUUUUUUCUAAUUUGCCACGUAUGCAAAUUUUAUGAGGUUCCAUGUGAGCGAGCACACACGAUCUCCGCCCCCGACUAUAUAUAAGGAAAUGUAAAAGGCGGGAACCAGAGAUGUAGCGAUGGUCUGAGUUUUGCGUGAGAAUUUCUCUGUGGCGAAAGAAAUGAGGAACGACGAUUAUCCUUUGGAGCGUUUUUACCUCUGGCCUCGUCGGCGCCGCGACAUCCACUUCCUUCGCCGUGUGGUUUACGCUAUUCGUAUGUUUGGAUUGCUUUCAGGAACCGGAUGAUCAGAAGCUUUGGAGGAUAUUUUUCUCUGGAAUAAUCAGCGCCACAGCAUCCAUUAUUGCCGAACUGGUCCUGGGGGAUACGAUUCAAUCAUUCCACUUAGAUGGUUGGUAUAGGGUGACUGACACAUCACGCAGCAAUUGGUAGAUUGACUAUACAGGGACUCCAAGUGAGAGUAUGUGACAUUAUCACUGCUCAGUUUCAGGUCUGGACAGACUGCAUUUGGAUCCAAGGCAAAGCAGUAUCACCCGUAUCAAAACCAGGAAAUAAAGGUGUGAUGGGAAAUCUUUGCCAUUGACUCUUGGAGAAGGCAGGGGAUUAGCAUCUUGAAUCGUCCCAAGUGGAGCAAAUUAGGUUAGUUGGGGCAACUGACUUCGUUGGAAAGAAAAAGAGCAUCUGCGGCUAGAAGGAAAAUCUUUGGAGCCAAAAUGGUUUGCCCCAGAGCCCCAGAGCCCCUGAUCCAAUCAUCCAAGUGUCAUCUUACAACGGGUGGAGAUCUGUAAUAAGCUGCAAUGGUUUUGGGGAAAAACAUCUGCCUAACACCUUCAGCCUUGAUGAUAGGAAAUAUGAUGGCCGAUGCACCCUACACGACAUGCAAAAUGGUUAGAUUUCUAUCCUAAUGCCAUACGGAUUGAUUAUCAAGCACUCUAAAAAUGAUUUAAAGCAUUUUAGAACCAUUUUUUAUUUCAA